UUUAAGCGUAACCAUGAGUUUCGCGGUGCCCAACUUUGAUCGUCCGUCUUAUUUGAAAUUUUUUUAUAAUUAGUACUUUUGUUGUUAUGAGAUGAUAAAAUAUGAACGGUACUUUACUUUCGACUAUGUUUUUAAAUUUUUUUUAAAAUAAAACGGAGGAUUAAAGUUAAGCACGGAAAAAUAUGGCUGCACUUAAA
rfam:Oryza sativa (indica cultivar-group) chromosome 9, whole genome shotgun sequence.